GUGAGUGGGUAGAGGGGAGGUGACCGUGGAAGUUUUGUGCCCUUUAUCAACUCGUUCCUUCCUUUCUUCCAG
rnacentral:miRNA from 1 species